AGAGUUUGAUCCUGGCUCAGAUUGAACGCUGGCGGCAUGCCUUACACAUGCAAGUCGAACGGCAGCAUGUCUUGUAGCAAUACAAGAUGAUGGCGAGUGGCGAACGGGUGAGUAAUAUAUCGGAACGUACCCUAGAGUGGGGGAUAACGUAGCGAAAGUUACGCUAAUACCGCAUACGAUCUAAGGAUGAAAGUGGGGGAUCGCAAGACCUCAUGCUCGUGGAGCGGCCGAUAUCUGAUUAGCUAGUGGUAGGUAAAAGCCUACCAAGGCAUCGAUCAGUAGCUGGUCUGAGAGGACGACCAGCCACACUGGAACUGAGACACGGUCCAGACUCCUACGGGAGGCAGCAGUGGGGAAUUUUGGACAAUGGGCGAAAGCCUGAUCCAGCAAUGCCGCGUGAGUGAAGAAGGCCUUCGGGUUGUAAAGCUCUUUUGUCAGGGAAGAAACGGUGAGAGCUAAUAUCUCUUGCUAAUGACGGUACCUGAAGAAUAAGCACCGGCUAACUACGUGCCAGCAGCCGCGGUAAUACGUAGGGUGCAAGCGUUAAUCGGAAUUACUGGGCGUAAAGCGUGCGCAGGCGGUUUUGUAAGUCUGAUGUGAAAUCCCCGGGCUCAACCUGGGAAUUGCAUUGGAGACUGCAAGGCUAGAAUCUGGCAGAGGGGGGUAGAAUUCCACGUGUANCANUGAAAUGCGUAGAUAUGUGGAGGAACACCGAUGGCGAANGCAGCCCCCUGGGUCAAGAUUGACGCUCAUGCACNAAAGCGUGGGGAGCAAACAGGAUUAGAUACCCUGGUAGUCCACGCCCUAAACGAUGUCUACUAGUUGUCGGGUCUUAAUGGNCUUGGUAACGCAGCUAACGCGUGAAGUAGACCGCCUGGGGAGUACGGUCGCAAGAUUAAAACUCAAAGGAAUUGACGGGGACCCGCACAAGCGGUGGAUGAUGUGGAUUAAUUCGAUGCAACGCGAAAAACCUUACCUACCCUUGACAUGGCUGGAAUCCCGGAGAGAUUUGGGAGUGCUCGAAAGAGAACCAGUACACAGGUGCUGCAUGGCUGUCGUCAGCUCGUGUCGUGAGAUGUUGGGUUAAGUCCCGCAACGAGCGCAACCC
rnacentral:rRNA from 1 species